rnacentral:rRNA from 1 species
CCUACGGGUGGCAGCAGUGGGGAAUAUUGGGCAAUGGGCGCAAGCCUGACCCAGCAACGCCGCGUGAAGGAAGAAGGCUUUCGGGUUGUAAACUUCUUUUCUCAGGGACGAAGCAAGUGACGGUACCUGAGGAAUAAGCCACGGCUAACUACGUGCCAGCAGCCGCGGUAAUACGUAGGUGGCAAGCGUUAUCCGGAUUUACUGGGUGUAAAGGGCGUGUAGGCGGGAAAGCAAGUUAGAUGGGAAAACCAUGGGCUCAACCUGUUGCCUGCUUUUGAAACUGGUUUUCUUGAGUAGUGGAGAGGCAGACGGAAUUACUAGUGUAGCGGUGAAAUGCGUAGAGAUUAGGAGGAACACCAGUGGCGAAGGCGGUCUGCUGGACAGCAACUGACGCUGAGGCGCGAAAGCGUGGGGAGCAAACAGGAUUAGAUACCCGAGGAGUC